rnacentral:rRNA from 1 species
UACGAAGGGUGCAAGCGUUACUCGGAAUUACUGGGCGUAAAGCGUGCGUAGGUGGUUUGUUAAGUCUGAUGUGAAAGCCCUGGGCUCAACCUGGGAACGGCAUUGGAAACUGGCUUACUAGAGUGCGGUAGAGGGUAGUGGAAUUCCCGGUGUAGCAGUGAAAUGCGUAGAGAUCGGGAGGAACAUCCGUGGCGAAGGCGACUACCUGGACCAGCACUGACACUGAGGCACGAAAGCGUGGGGAGCAAACAGG